GGACUACACGGGUAUCUAAUCCCAUUCGCGACCCACGCUUUCGUGCUUCAGCGUCAGGAGUGGUCCAGUCUCUUGCCUUCGCUUUUGGUGUUCCCCAUGAUAUCAACGCAUUUCACCGCUACACCAUGAGUUCCAGAGACCCCUACCAUCCUCUAGCAAUGCCGUUUCUCCCGCAGACUCUGGGUUGAGCCCAGAGAUUUUACGGGAGACUAACAUCGCCGCCUACGCACCCUUUACGCCCAAUGAUUCCGGAUAACGCUCGAGGCACUCGUAUUACCGCGGCGGCUGGCAC
rnacentral:rRNA from 1 species